rnacentral:rRNA from 1 species
ACAAGCGGUGGAGUAUGUGGUUUAAUUCGAUGCAACGCGAAGAACCUUACCUGGUCUUGACAUCCCGGAGACCCUUAGGAAACUAGGGGGUGCUUCCAUCUGGAAGAAUCUGGAGACAGGUGCUGCAUGGCUGUCGUCAGCUCGUGUCGUGAGAUGUUGGGUUAAGUCCCGCAACGAGCGCAACCCUUGCCUUUAGUUGCCAGCAGUUCGGCUGGGCACUCUAAAGGGACUGCCGGUGUUAAACCGGAGGAAGGUGGGGAUGACGUCAAGUCCUCAUGGCCUUUAUGACCAGGGCUACACACGUACUACAAUGGCCGAUACAAAGGGCAGCGACACUGCGAGGUGAAGCCAAUCCCGUAAAAUCGGUCUCAGUCCGGAUUGGAGUCUGCAACUUGACUCCAUGAAGUUGGAAUCGCUAGUAAUCGUGGAUCAGCAUGCCACGGUGAAUACGUUCCCGGGCCUU